GAGAAGAUGGCUGAGAGGUUGAAAGCGAUAGACUGUAAAUCUAUUUUCAAAAAAGAAAUUCAUAGGUUCGAAUCCUAUUCUUCUUC
rnacentral:tRNA from 1 species